GAUGAACGCUAGCGGCAGGCUUAAUACAUGCAAGUCGAGGGACAGCACAGGUAGCAAUACUGGGUGGUAACCGGCAAACGGGUGCGGAACACGUACACAACCUUCCUUUAAGUGGGGGAUAGCCCAGAGAAAUUUGGAUUAAUACCCCGUAAUAUAGUUGAAUGGCAUCAUUUGAUUAUUAUAGCUACGGCGCUUAAUGAUGGGUGUGCGGCUGAUUAGAUAGUUGGCGGGGUAACGGCCCACCAAGUCUACGAUCAGUAGCUGAUGUGAGAGGAUGCUCGGCCACAGGGGCACGGAGCCACGGGCCCGACGCCUACGGGAGGCAGCAGUAAGGAAUAUUGGUCAAUGGACGCAAGUCUGAACCAGCCAUGCCGCGUGAAGGAUUAAGGUCCUCUGGAUUGUAAACUUCUUUUAUUUGGGACGAAAAAGGGCCUUUCUAGGUCAACUGACGGUACCAGAUGAAUAAGCACCGGCUAACUCCGUGCCAGCCGCCGCCGUAAGAC
rnacentral:rRNA from 1 species